CGCGCGGGGUGGGAGGGGUGGGGAGGGAGCGCGCGCGCGCGUGCGUGCGCGCGCAGCGGGCGGCCGUUGGGGUAACGGCCGCCCUGAGGUGGAUUCCGCGUCGGGCUGUGGGCUUCUCGUUGGGGCUGUUUCUGAGGUGGUUGUGAGGCGCUUCUCCCACGUACAUUCGGCUGUCCCCCUAAAUACACCACGUAGGGUUAUUCCAGAAGUGCUCGCUGAUCCCGGUGCUUUUGGAAGCUUCCAUAAUGAUGCGUUUCGGUGUUCUUCCAGGUCUCCUGCUCAUCAGCUUCGCUUUACUGGACACCAAGAAGUCUUAAGUGCAGCACUGUGCAAGUGAACAUGAAGCAAGUAAAGGUAGAUUUUCUCACGUCCUUCCAUGGAAUAAUAAUUUGCUGAACAGCAGGGAUGUUGUAAAGAAGCAAGCAUUCUUGUAAAGCAUUAAACUCCAAAAACUUGGAAAA